rnacentral:RNase_P_RNA from 1 species
GUCCGGCGGGCGGCCGCCGGCCUACCCCGGCGACGGGGUAGGCUGAGGAACCCCCUCCCACCGCGGCCCCGCAACCGCGUAAGCGGGUCGGCGAGACGCCGAGGACCGGCGAAAGCCUCCACCGUGCAUGGGUAUGACCCUCCACGGGUGGAGGCGACGACGCGGUGGAUGUGCGUGGAAAGCCGGUCCUGCGGGGGUUAGGGUCAAGCAGGGCCUGUGAGGCGCCGCGGCGAGGUCCGGGUGGACCCCUAGACGGAUGCCGCCUAAACAGAAGAGGGGGUACGACUGGCC